ensembl:ncRNA lncRNA:CR44864 long non-coding RNA:CR44864
GUGUGUGUGUGUGUGUGUGUGGGAUCUAUUCAAAGUGUCAGAAAAGACUCGCUGCCCCAGAGAUUUACUACAAAUUACGGAGUCUAUCCUGACCGCACAUCGCCGAGUUGAGAGUCCGACAGAGUGACCUUAUCGGCGGACAUGCAUCUUGGCCCCAUGCGGAUGUUCGCGGUCCCCGAGUGGCAGGAGAAGUAGGAGCACGACCAGUUCCGGGUCCAUAACCAGCACCAAAACCAGGACACAGACCCAAUCCACUCGAAAGGUAACCACUGGCACCGUAAUUGAACCGGAAAAUUACAUAUUUCAAGCUAUUUUUACGCGGCGCUUAAUGGCGGACGUGAGAGCAGCAAGUGGAGUUGUUUGUGGUCAGCAAUGAAAUAAUUUAUUGUUGCCUUCUUGGGCAGCCCACCACCUGGCCAAGAUAGAACCGUCAGAUAUGAGCCGGGUGAAUGCCUCACAUAAUUACACCUUAACCCGCCGCAUCGGAUUGGCGCGAUUAAGCACAAUGUGGCAGGAGUCCUGGGAUCCUGGAUUCGCCCAUCGACCUGGGUGAAAGAAAUGUGGCACUGCUGGGAUUUAUCGCGGCAUCAACGCAAACUGCUGCGGACAGUUCACUUACACACACAGUUUAGUUAAUCGUUCCGGCAUUGAAAAUGGAACAGGUAGAUAAUGCUCAAAUUGCACUGGGUAGCUGCUGAUGAAGUAUUUCUAGAUACUAAGCCAAACGAUGUAGGAUUUGCGAUAAAUCAGUGGUAAAAACCGCAGAUGUAAUGUUAUCAACUCAAGACUACAAACAAUUUCUUUACAAAAUAUAUGAAUAUGCUAACUUGUGAUAACUAAAUAACUAUACACAAAAUAGAUGUAUAAUUCGCCAUUUUAUUAUAUUUGUAAUAGCAAAUGUCUAGUC